rnacentral:rRNA from 1 species
GAUGAACGCUAGCUACAGGCUUAACACAUGCAAGUCGAGGGGCAGCAUGAAAGUUUGCUUGCAAACUUUUGAUGGCGACCGGCGCACGGGUGAGUAACACGUAUCCAACCUGCCUCAUACUCGGGGAUAGCCUUUCGAAAGAAAGAUUAAUACUUGAUGGCAUAACCUGGUCUCCUGACUUGGUUAUUAAAGAAUUUCGGUUGAAGAUGGGGAUGCGUUCCAUUAGGCAGUUGGCGGGGUAACGGCCCACCAAACCUACGAUGGAUAGGGGUUCUGAGAGGAAGGUCCCCCACAUUGGAACUGAGACACGGUCCAA